AAAAAAAUGUAAGCGGAAUAAUACAGUAUGUAACCUUUAGGAAUUGACUUUUUCCCUCUGCAUCAUUCUCUUGAGAUUCAUCCAAAAAAUAAGAAAUGAAAUAUUACAGAUACAGCUGAAGCCUGCUCCUCCUCCUUGCGCCUCUGUCCUCCUUCCCCAGAAGAUUCUUGUCAGGAGGCACAGGUUACCCAAUGCAAGGGUCCACAGGUACUUUCACCUAAGUUCCUGCCACAGCUCCACAUGAAGCCAAGUGUGAGAAUGAUGCCUGGAAAGUUUAUUAGUGCAGCCACACCACUGGCCCCAGUUUGCACCCUGUGAGACUAUCAUAGCCAACCCAGACAGACGGUGGUAUCAGCAGAAAGGAAGAGCCACACCAAAUCCCUAAGGUUGAAGGGAUUUACUCUCCCAAGUGGUGAUGGGAGAGGAGACAGGUCAUGGAUGAAACUCACCCAAGGCUGAGGGAGACAAGGGAGACUGAAGCCAAACAGCCAAAUCUUUGCAUGCAACAGAUGUCUGAGCCCCACUGCAAAACUCAGUAUUCCUGGGAGCAGGGCCUGCACCUGUCAAUUUUGCAAAUGUUCUCCAGGUAGUUGCAAUGCAACUGCAGGCUGAGACAUGCUCAGUCGUGGUCAGGAAUGAAGGUUUCAGAGUCAUUGGUCCUAGAUUCUUCAAAUUCUGGCUCUGCUGCUUGUCAACAUUAGGAGCCUCAUCGCCUCAUUUAUAAAACAGGGUGAUAAGAAAACCUAACCAAGGCUUGUUUAUGAGAAUCAGGUGAGCUGAUACCGAUAAAAUGCCUAGCACACAGUGAAUAUUCAACAAAUACUUGCUUUUGCCGACAAUGUUGCCACCACUCAAAAAUGGCUCUUAUUUGGGUAGUGAGGAGGAGUAGCCCAAGACACAUACAAAUGAGUUUUAGGGACAACUCUGCACAUCAUCAAGCCACACAAUUAUAAGGAGGCUGCUGACACUGUCUGCAGAGAGAACAGAGCAAAUAUGAGCCCAAAGUAUAACAGGAGUAUGUCCGCCUUAACCUGUGGGAUGAAUAAACCCAGAAGGAUUGUAGGAUAGGGAAGCUACGCUAUGGCACAUAGCUGACUUUGGGGCCACUUUCCCACACUUUUUGUUUUAAAAGACUUCAGACUUAUGGAAGAUUAGAAAGAAUAGCACAACGAACAGCAUACAAGCUUCAUCUACAUUCAACAACUGUUAAUAUUUUAUGAUAUUUGCUUCAUCUCUCUCUAUAAGUACAUAUUAUAUAUAUAGAUAUAUAUGCACACACACAGCAUAUAAAAGCUGCAUAUACUAUAAUAGCAGGUAUUUCUCCAAAAUCAAAGAAUCCUCUUAAUAACCACCACACCAGUUUCAUACUUAAGAAAUUUAAUAUUAAUGCAAUAAUAUGACAUAACAUGCAAUCAUAUUCAAACUGACACAGUGGUCCCAAUAAUGUUCUUUAUAGCUUUUUAAAAAAACCUAAGGGCCUAUCAAGGAUCACAUGCUGCAUUUGGUGGUUGUGUCUCUUUCAUUUUUUAGCUGUUCUUAGAAACUUAUUCUCCACUUCGCAACCUCUAGGUGGUAUCCAAUUUGUAUUUGCUCUCCCUAGAGACCCCAGUGCCACCUGCCCCCCAUUCCCCACAAGCCCCUCUGACUGGGCCCAGACACAGUCUGUAAUGACAGGAAAUGAAGCUGCAGAGCAGGUCUUCAACACAGAGCUUGUCAUCAGAUGCAUGGCUGAGUGGUAAAGCCACUUCCUUCCUCCUGACACGGCCAGAAACUUCAAGCCCUAUUUGCAACAUAGCAGUGUGAAAUCUCUGGCAGGUGCAGAUGGCACGGCUGCAAGUGCCAGAACUCUAUGUGGGCUCUUAAGGGGAGGAAGACACUUCCAUCCCACUGGGCAGGAAACUCACAGUAGUUGCAUUACAGUCCGGCCUGUACCUUUGCAUCCAGAGGAAACUGUGAGGCUUUGUUGGGGCAAAGACUGUGGCAGCAAAAGGAAGAAUUUGCCAGAGCCAGUUACAACAAAGGAGGAUGUGAUCUCGGGAACUUUGCACCACACCUCUCUCCAUUCUGGCACCUACAACUUGAUAUUCCUCUUGGAUUCAUAACAGCAUAGUUAAUGACCUAUAUCCAAAAGAUGGCUGGACCUACAGACUGAAGAUUCACAGCCAUCCAAAACCAUCAGCAAAGCUUUCAGUUCCUAGGGGAAAUGCAAACCUGGGCUCAUACAGUGCUCCCUCUUAGUCUAACUUGCUAUAAAUUUUACCUGAACAAUGGAAGAGCUAUUUGCAGAGUCUCUGGAGGAACAUAUUCCAACCACAAAUAUUAAUGAUAAUGAACCUGGAAAGACCAGCUUAAUAAAAUAGCUGAAAAUGAACUUACACAUCAUUAGCAUUAUGAGCUCCCAAAUCUUCAUCUCUGAACAGCUGGACUCUCUGAGUAGAGGAUGGACGGGAACCCGCUAGAUCUCCAGAGCAGUGCCUCCAGCAGACCCUCUGACUGGCUAUGUUCUGGCUUUUGAUAUACGUUAUCUAUUCUCUUCUAAAGCCAGAAUUACUACAGACUAAGGGUGGAUAUUUUGUCUCCCCUCUUGGUCUUUGAAAAAUUAGAAUUAUCUCCAAUUUACUUUUGAUAUGGGGUAAAAUAUUUACACUCUUUUGAUGUUAGAAAA